UUUCCAGGAAUCGACAUGAGCAUGUGUACCUUUUAAAAUCUCAUUGACAACUAGAUAUUAUCAAGUGUCAGCAAAACUGCCUGCUUCCUCAGGUGCUAAACAACUGAUGUUUGGAUGGGAAUCUUCACAUGUUCACCUUUUGCAACUGGGUACCAUAUGUGGCUUUCAGGAUGGAUGAUUCCUUGAGUACCAAGUAAAGGGAACUAGCAGAUCCUCAUCUAUAUCUGGAAAACAGAUAGAUUUGGGAAUAUAAAGAGGUCUGUGAGCCACGUGAUUUCUUACUUUUAGAAAUUCAUCUCUUUAACUUGGAUGAUUCUGUUCAGAAAUCCAUUCAAUUCAUUAAGCCCAAGUAGAAAUUGAUGAAGAAGGAAUAUGAAACUGACAAGAUCAUGAUGUUUCCUUAAGAGUUUAAACUAGUGGUACAAGUGUUGCUUGAGAAUAAUUUGCUUAGCCAUGAAAUAUUGAAGAGGAAAUUGGAAUUAUUAGGAAGGUCAUAUAUAAAUAAAUCUAAAAGAAUUUUACCUUGAACAUCUCUACUAUUGAUUUUUAGAGAAAACAAAGCAAGCAUCAUGAAUUGAUUUGCAGUGUUGCAAAUGAUGUCUGUAUUGACCAGUUUUAGUAGUUCUCUCAUAAGAAAAUAACAAGAAGAUAGUCUUAAUAUUUAGAGGGAAAGUGACAGUUAUUACCUUCAAGACAGACACCACAGGAACAGGAUCUCUCUCUCUCUCUCUCUCUCUCUCUCUCUCUCUCUCUCUCUCUUUCUUUCUCCUGCCCCCUCCUCUUCCUUCCCUCCCUCCCCUCGAACAGCUAUUCGAAUAUGUAACACUGACAAUCUACAGAAUCAAGGGAUCUCAUGGUGAGGUUGUUCUGAUAUUAAAGGGAAGAUAAAGAAAUUUUUUUUCGG